CCAACACCGCUAAGACUAUUGGAGGUGGGCUGUGUGUCUACAUCAGUGCUUCUCAAUUAUUUUCUGUUACGCCCCCCCCCUAGCAAGAAGAAAACUAUUCGCGCCCCCCACUCCCCACCGUGACUAUCCAUCUCUG